CAGUCGCCGCGGUAAUACGGAGGGUGCAAGCGUUAAUCGGAAUUACUGGGCGUAAAGCGCACGCAGGCGGUUUGUUAAGUCAGAUGUGAAAUCCCCGAGCUUAACUUGGGAACUGCAUUUGAAACUGGCAAGCUAGAGUCUUGUAGAGGGGGGUAGAAUUCCAGGUGUAGCGGUGAAAUGCGUAGAGAUCUGGAGGAAUACCGGUGGCGAAGGCGGCCCCCUGGACAAAGACUGACGCUCAGGUGCGAAAGCGUGGGGAGCAAACAGGAUUAGAUACCCCUGUAGUCCCUGUCUCUUAUAC
rnacentral:rRNA from 1 species